GAUGAACGCUGGCGGCGUGCCUAAUACAUGCAAGUCGAGCGAACGGACGAGAAGCUUGCUUCUCUGAUGUUAGCGGCGGACGGGUGAGUAACACGUGGAUAACCUACCUAUAAGACUGGGAUAACUUCGGGAAACCGGAGCUAAUACCGGAUGAUAUUUUGAACCGCAUGGUUCAAAAGUGAAAGACGGUCUUGCUGUCACUUAUAGAUGGAUCCGCGCUGCAUUAGCUAGUUGGUAAGGUAGCGGCUUACCAAGGCAACGAUGCAUAGCCGACCUGAGAGGGUGAUCGGCCACACUGGAACUGAGACACGGUCCAGACUCCUACGGGAGGCAGCAGUAGGGAAUCUUCCGCAAUGGGCGAAAGCCUGACGGAGCAACGCCGCGUGAGUGAUGAAGGUCUUCGGACCGUAAAACUCUGUUAUUAGGGAAGAACAUAUGUGUAAGUAACUGUGCACAUCUUGACGGUACCUAAUCAGAAAGCCACGGCUAACUACGUG
rnacentral:rRNA from 1 species